UGGGGAAUUUUGGACAAUGGGCGAAAGCCUGAUCCAGCAAUGCCGCGUGUGUGAAGAAGGCCUUCGGGUUGUAAAGCACUUUUGUCCGGAAAGAAAUCCUUGGCUCUAGUACAGUCGGGGGAUGACGGUACCGGAAGAAUAAGCACCGGCUAACUACGUGCCAGCAGCCGCGGUAAUACGUAGGGUGCAAGCGUUAAUCGGAAUUACUGGGCGUAAAGCGUGCGCAGGCGGUUUGCUAAGACCGAUGUGAAAUCCCCGGGCUCAACCUGGGAACUGCAUUGGUGACUGGCAGGCUAGAGUAUGGCAGAGGGGGGUAGAAUUCCACGUGUAGCAGUGAAAUGCGUAGAGAUGUGGAGGAAUACCGAUGGCGAAGGCAGCCCCCUGGGCCAAUACUGACGCUCAUGCACGAAAGCGUGGGGAGCAAACAGGAUUAGAUACCCUGGUAGUCCACGCCCUAAACGAUGUCAACUAGUUGUUGGGGAUUCAUUUCCUUAGUAACGUAGCUAACGCGUGAAGUUGACCGCCU
rnacentral:rRNA from 1 species